rnacentral:rRNA from 1 species
UACGUAGGGGGCAAGCGUUGUCCGGAAUCAUUGGGCGUAAAGAGCGUGUAGGCGGCCAGAUAAGUCCGCUGUGAAAUCUUGAGGCUCAACUUCGAGCUGUCGGUGGAAACUGUCUGGCUAGAGUCCGGAAGAGGAGAAUGGAAUUCCUGGUGUAGCGGUGAAAUGCGCAGAUAUCAGGAAGAACACCCGUGGCGAAGGCGGCUCUCUGGGACGGUACUGACGCUGAGACGCGAAAGCGUGGGGAGCGAACAGG